GGAGCAUUAAUUUAAUGGUAAAAUGUUUGGCUUACAACCAAGUCACAGUGGUUCGAUUCCGCUAUGCUCCA
rnacentral:tRNA from 1 species